rnacentral:rRNA from 1 species
UACGUAGGGGGCUAGCGUUGUCCGGAAUCAUUGGGCGUAAAGCGCGCGUAGGCGGCCUGAUACGUCCGGUGUGAAAGUCACAGGCUCAACCUGUGAAUGCCGCUGGAAACUGUCUGGCUAGAGUCCGGAAGGGGCGAGUGGAAUUCCUGGUGUAGCGGUGAAAUGCGCAGAUAUCAGGAGGAACACCAAUGGCGAAGGCAGCUCGCUGGAGCGGUACUGACGCUGAGGCGCGAAAGCGUGGGGAGCGAACGGG